rnacentral:rRNA from 1 species
UACGUAGGGUGCAGGCGUUAAUCGGAAUUACUGGGCGUAAAGCGUGCGCAGGCGGUUUCUUAAGUCAGAUGUGAAAGCCCCGGGCUUAACCUGGGACUGCGUUUGAAACUGGGAGACUUGAGUGUGGCAGAGGGGGUGGAAUUCCGACGUGUAGCAGUGAAAUGCGUAGAGAUGUGGAGGAACACCGAUGGCGAAGGCAGCCCCCUGGGUCAAGAUUGACGCUCAUGCACGAAAGCGUGGGGAGCAAACAGG